CCAAUUAAUUUAACUUGGGAGUCAGAACAUGGGUGAUAAGGUCCGUGUUCGAAAGGGAAACAGCCCAGACCACCAGCUAAGGUCCCAAAAUAUAUGUUAAGUGGAAAAGGAUGUGGCGUUGCCCAGACAACUAGGAUGUUGGCUUAGAAGCAGCCAUCAUUUAAAGAGUGCGUAAUAGCUCACUAGUCGAGUGACACUGCGCCGAAAAUGUACCGGGGCUAAACAUAUUACCGAAGCUGUGGAUUGUCCUUUGGACAAUGGUAGGAGAGCGUUCUAAGGGCGUUGAAGCAUGAUCGUAAGGACAUGUGGAGCGCUUAGAAGUGAGAAUGCCGGUGUGAGUAGCGAAAGACGGGUGAGAAUCCCGUCCACCGAUUGACUAAGGUUUCCAGAGGAAGGCUCGUCCGCUCUGGGUUAGUCGGGUCCUAAGCUGAGGCCGACAGGCGUAGGCGAUGGAUAACAGGUUGAUAUUCCUGUACCACCUAUAAUCGUUUUAAUCGAUGGGGGGACGCAGUAGGAUAGGCGAAGCGUGCGAUUGGAUUGCACGUCUAAGCAGUAAGGCUGAGUAUUAGGCAAAUCCGGUACUCGUUAAGGCUGAGCUGUGAUGGGGAGAAGACAUUGUGUCUUCGAGUCGUUGAUUUCACACUGCCGAGAAAAGCCUCUAGAUAGAAAAUAGGUGCCCGUACCGCAAACCGACACAGGUAGUCAAGAUGAGAAUUCUAAGGUGAGCGAGCGAACUCUCGUUAAGGAACUCGGCAAAAUGACCCCGUAACUUCGGGAGAAGGGGUGCUCUUUAGGGUUAACGCCCAGAAGAGCCGCAGUGAAUAGGCCCAAGCGACUGUUUAUCAAAAACACAGGUCUCUGCUAAACCGUAAGGUGAUGUAUAGGGGCUGACGCCUGCCCGGUGCUGGAAGGUUAAGAGGAGUGGUUAGCUUCUGCGAAGCUACGAAUCGAAGCCCCAGUAAACGGCGGCCGUAACUAUAACGGUCCUAAGGUAGCGAAAUUCCUUGUCGGGUAAGUUCCGACCCGCACGAAAGGCGUAACGAUUUGGGCACUGUCUCAACGAGAGACUCGGUGAAAUCAUAGUACCUGUGAAGAUGCAGGUUACCCGCGACAGGACGGAAAGACCCCGUGGAGCUUUACUGUAGCCUGAUAUUGAAAUUCGGCACAGCUUGUACAGGAUAGGUAGGAGCCUUUGAAACGUGAGCGCUAGCUUACGUGGAGGCGCUGGUGGGAUACUACCCUAGCUGUGUUGGUUUUCUAACCCGCACCACUUAUCGUGGUGGGAGACAGUGUCAGGCGGGCAGUUUGACUGGGGCGGUCGCCUCCUAAAAGGUAACGGAGGCGCUCAAAGGUUCCCUCAGAAUGGUUGGAAAUCAUUCAUAGAGUGUAAAGGCAUAAGGGAGCUUGACUGCGAGACCUACAAGUCGAGCAGGGUCGAAAGACGGACUUAGUGAUCCGGUGGUUCCGCAUGGAAGGGCCAUCGCUCAACGGAUAAAAGCUACCCCGGGGAUAACAGGCUUAUCUCCCCCAAGAGUUCACAUCGACGGGGAGGUUUGGCACCUCGAUGUCGGCUCAUCGCAUCCUGGGGCUGUAGUCGGUCCCAAGGGUUGGGCUGUUCGCCCAUUAAAGCGGUACGCGAGCUGGGUUCAGAACGUCGUGAGACAGUUCGGUCCCUAUCCGUCGUGGGCGUAGGAAAUUUGAGAGGAGCUGUCCUUAGUACGAGAGGACCGGGAUGGACAUACCUCUGGUGUACCAGUUGUCGUGCCAACGGCAUAGCUGGGUAGCUAUGUGUGGACGGGAUAAGUGCUGAAAGCAUCUAAGCAUGAAGCCCCCCUCAAGAUGAGAUUUCCCAACUUCGGUUAUAAGAUCCCUCAAAGAUGAUGAGGUUAAUAGGUUCGAGGUGGAAGCAUGGUGACAUGUGGAGCUGACGAAUACUAA
rnacentral:rRNA from 1 species